CCUACGGGUGGCAGCAGUGAGGAAUAUUGGUCAAUGGGCGCGAGCCUGAACCAGCCAAGUAGCGUGAAGGAUGACUGCCCUACGGGUUGUAAACUUCUUUUAUAAAGGAAUAAAGUGAGGCACGUGUGCCUUUUGUAUGUACUUUAUGAAUAAGGAUCGGCUAACUCCGUUACAGCAGCCGCGGUAAUUCGGAGGCUUCGAGCGUUGUCCGGAUUUAUUGGGUGUAAAGGGAGCGUAGAUGGGUUGUUAAGUCAGUUGUGAAAGUUUGCGGGUCAACCGUAAAAUUGCAAUUGAUACUGGCAGUCUUGAGUACAGGUGAGGUAGGCGGAAUUCGUGGUGUAGCGGUGAAAUGCUUAGAUAUCACGAAGAACUCCGAUUGCGAAGGCAGCUUACUAAACUGCCACUGACAUUGAUGCUCGAAAGUGUGGGUAUCAAACAGGAUUAGAUACCCCUGUAGUC
rnacentral:rRNA from 1 species